AGAGUUUGAUCAUGGCUCAGAUUGAACGCUGGCGGCAGGCCUAACACAUGCAAGUCGAGCGGCAGCGGGAGGAAGCUUGCUUCCUCGCCGGCGAGCGGCGGACGGGUGAGUAAUGUCUGGGGAUCUGCCCGAUGGAGGGGGAUAACCACUGGAAACGGUGGCUAAUACCGCAUAACGUCGCAAGACCAAAGUGGGGGACCUUCGGGCCUCACACCAUCGGAUGAACCCAGAUGGGAUUGGCUAGUAGGUGGGGUAAUGGCUCACCUAGGCGACGAUCCCUAGCUGGUCUGAGAGGAUGACCAGCCACACUGGAACUGAGACACGGUCCAGACUCCUACGGGAGGCAGCAGUGGGGAAUAUUGCACAAUGGGCGCAAGCCUGAUGCAGCCAUGCCGCGUGUGUGAAGAAGGCCUUCGGGUUGUAAAGCACUUUCGCGAGGAGGAAGGUGGUGAGCUUAAUACGCUCAUCAAUUGACGUUACUCGCAGAAGAAGCACCGGCUAACUCCGUGCCAGCAGCCGCGGUAAUACGGAGGGUGCAAGCGUUAAUCGGAAUUACUGGGCGUAAAGCGCACGCAGGCGGUUUGUUAAGUCAGAUGUGAAAUCCCCGAGCUUAACUUGGGAACUGCAUUUGAAACUGGCAAGCUAGAGUCUCGUAGAGGGGGGUAGAAUUCCAGGUGUAGCGGUGAAAUGCGUAGAGAUCUGGAGGAAUACCGGUGGCGAAGGCGGCCCCCUGGACGAAGACUGACGCUCAGGUGCGAAAGCGUGGGGAGCAAACAGGAUUAGAUACCCUGGUAGUCCACGCCGUAAACGAUGUCGAUUUGGAGGUUGUGCCCUUGAGGCGUGGCUUCCGGAGCUAACGCGUUAAAUCGACCGCCUGGGGAGUACGGCCGCAAGGUUAAAACUCAAAUGAAUUGACGGGGGCCCGCACAAGCGGUGGAGCAUGUGGUUUAAUUCGAUGCAACGCGAAGAACCUUACCUACUCUUGACAUCCAGAGAACUUUCCAGAGAUGGAUUGGUGCCUUCGGGAACUCUGAGACAGGUGCUGCAUGGCUGUCGUCAGCUCGUGUUGUGAAAUGUUGGGUUAAGUCCCGCAACGAGCGCAACCCUUAUCCUUUGUUGCCAGCACGUCAUGGUGGGAACUCAAAGGAGACUGCCGGUGAUAAACCGGAGGAAGGUGGGGAUGACGUCAAGUCAUCAUGGCCCUUACGAGUAGGGCUACACACGUGCUACAAUGGCGCAUACAAAGAGAAGCGACCUCGCGAGAGCAAGCGGACCUCAUAAAGUGCGUCGUAGUCCGGAUUGGAGUCUGCAACUCGACUCCAUGAAGUCGGAAUCGCUAGUAAUCGUAGAUCAGAAUGCUACGGUGAAUACGUUCCCGGGCCUUGUACACACCGCCCGUCACACCAUGGGAGUGGGUUGCAAAAGAAGUAGGUAGCUUAACCUUCGGGGGGGCGCUUACCACUUUGUGAUUCAUGACUGGGGUGAAGUCGUAACAAGGUAACC
rnacentral:rRNA from 1 species